CGCCUAUUGUUAAAACACUCAGGAGCAAAAUAACUGCACUUGAAAAAAAAACGAAUAAGAAAUUUUCCAGAGGGAGUGAUCUAGGGAUGAGAUGCCAUUAUGGCUUAUGCUCGAUAAAAACAGAAAAUGCAUCUUACCCAAAAGUUCCCUUUGGUUCAGUGGAAAUGUGACUAGUAGAAUCUGAAGGGUCUUUGGCAAGUCCAAAAUCUGCGAUCUGAUCAAAGGAAAAAAUAUUGAUACUACAAGUACAACCUAGUAUUUAUUGUCACAUACCAAUAAUUUAUUAUGAACAGUCUCUGGUGAUGACUUCCUUUUUUAGUACAAGGACUUGUGUUCAAAGAUUUACCCAAAUGGGGCAUAAAGUUAGAUAAUGAGAAUGAAUUAGAUCUUAAAUCAAAUUUAUUGAUGCACCCCUCAUUCGAGUGGGAGGAAGGCUAAUUAUUUAUAUAGAAAGCAUAAUGUUUUAACUCUUAUAAAAUCUUACCUUUGGUUCAAAAUUUUCAUCAAGAAGAAUAUUCUCACUUUUGAUAUCCCGAUGGAUGACCCUGGGAUUACCUAAAGAUAUAAAUAUCAUAAGAGAGAGUGAGAAUAUUUAUAUAGACUUAAUUCAUCAUGUGGCUGAUUGGUUAUAGACUAAGCUAAUAAUAUUUUUUCACAUGAUCCAUAAUUUAAGGAUGAUUACGGAUAAAGUAUAUGAUUACCCAUGAUUUGACUAGUAUGGCAUUGUUUUACUGAUUUUGAACAUGAUGUGUAAAUGAAAAAAAUCGAACUUGGAAAAAGUAACAAAUAAAUACUUACACCCUUCAUGCAAAUAUGCCAAUCCUUU
rnacentral:misc_RNA from 1 species